AAUAGAUACCCGGGUAGUCCACGCCGUAAACGAUGAGUGCUAAGUGUUGGGGGGGUUUCCGCCCCUCAGUGCUGCAGCUAACGCAUUAAGCACUCCGCCUGGGGAGUACGGUCGCAAGACUGAAACUCAAAGGAAUUGACGGGGGCCCGCACAAGCGGUGGAGCAUGUGGUUUAAUUCGAAGCAACGCGAAGAACCUUACCAGGUCUUGACAUCCCGGUGACCACUAUGGAGACAUAGUUUCCCCUUCGGGGGCAACGGUGACAGGUGGUGCAUGGUUGUCGUCAGCUCGUGUCGUGAGAUGUUGGGUUAAGUCCCGCAACGAGCGCAACCCUUAUUCUUAGUUGCCAUCAUUCAGUUGGGCACUCUAAGGAGACUGCCGGUGAUAAACCGGAGGAAAGUGGGGAUGACGUCAAAUCAUCAUGCCCCUUAUGACCUGGGCUACACACGUGCUACAAUGGACGGUACAAACGGUUGCCAACCCGCGAGGGGAGCUAAUCCGAUAAAACCGUUCUCAGUUCGGAUUGUAGGCUGCAACUCGCUACA
rnacentral:rRNA from 1 species